rnacentral:lncRNA from 1 species
GCACAAAGAGAUAAUGUUAUAAUCCUCUACUGCUUUUUAUUCUCUUGUCUCCUGACAAACCCAAAAUUUUGAUCAAGGAUAUGUAAUUGCCACUCAAUUCCUUGAAAAUACUGCAUAGAGGCCCUGAGAUGAAUCUCUCUUCAUUCAGUUUUCAAAUUUUGUUUUUCAAUAAUCCCUUUCUAGGAAGAUAAAAAAAAAAAAAAAAAAAAAGACAA